UGAAAAAUUUCCUUUCAAGAUCUUGGAAGACGGAGAUUUCUAGACUUGAAAUCAUGUCGUUAGGCGGUGAUGGGACGCGAAACUUUUAUCUAGAUAAAUCCCAUCCGUUCAACUUCCUAGGAAAUUCAAAUUUUCAAAGGUCGAUAUUUUCGUUCAAAUCUUCCUAUAAAUUCAAACUUUGUUCAUAUAUAUAAAUACUUGCGGUCAAGAAGAUUGUUCAACGCCUUAGGUAAAGUUUUCUCUCCAUUUUCUUUAUCGUUCCUCUUCUUUUCGUUUUAUCAUUAUGGGUAAAAAAAACUCACCAGAUCAAAAUCUAGGGUUGAGGGACCUGUGUUAGAAAAUUUCACUGACUUAGGUAUAUUGCCUCGAGAUGAAAGUGAAAGUUGUGCUUUCUUGAACUCUGAUAUCAAGUUACUUCGAUCAUACGAAAAUUUUCCUUUUGACAGUCUUAAGGGAUUUCGACACUAGGUUGAAGCCUGGUUUCAUAUCUCUUUAUUUGGGUUUGUUUUUAUGAUUUUCCGUUUUCUAUUUGGAUUUCAUUCCCCUUUCUUCCUUUGAUUUCUAUGUUUUUUGAGGUUCCCCAAUUUUCUUGUGCCCAAAUCAUGCCCAUGGUUUGACAUAUUUUGUUCUGGGUUGUCUUCCUUAAUGAAUCUGAAAACCUAGAUCUUGGUUUGUCCGGGAUUGCUAGUAUCUAUGACUUCCACAACUUUGGUUCUUAUCGUAUUAUCUUCAAGAUCAAACCUGGAAAAAUCCAUUUGAUCCUUAAGACUUCCUUUCACGAUGUCGGAUGGAAGAGAAAGUAUUUUUUUCAUCAACAAACAGUCUCUUGCAGGUUUCUUGCUAAGUGAUUGGGUUACUACGGAGAAUAGGGUUUUCAAAGUCAUCUUGGAGUGUUCUUAGGAUAAGGAUCUUAACAUAUCUUUGGUUAUUAGAGAUCUAGAGCCCAUCAACAGUCUACUGGUUUCAUGCUUACUUGACCAGGUUUGUCAUUCUCUUAUUUCAAUGUCGAGGGCUUUCUUUCUAGAGGGAAAGCCUACAAGUCCUAAUCCCAAGAAGAGGAAGCUUACUUUGGAACUUGGGCAAUAAGUUUUUGACGGUUUAGGCCCUUUUGAAAUUAAGUUGAAGUUAAUUACUCUUACUCAAACUAUAAGUUAUACUUAUCUUCAUUGUGUAAUGUCCCAAAAACCAUAAUAAAAUUUCUCAUUUUACUUUGUAUCA